UCCGACUUUCAAAAACCUUAAUAGUUAAUAUGAUCAGUUAAAUUAAUCUCUUUGUUUUAAUCUGGAUAAACGGAACAUAAGGAAUGUAUUUUACUAAUGUUGGGUAGUGAUUUCAAGAAACAAAUAUCAUGAAAUAGGCUUUGAUGGGGCCUUUAACUAGUUGCAUAUGUGGUCUGUAGGCUUAAUCCUAUAGUCAAACUUCCUAUAACACCACUAAACUGGUGACAACUGACGAAUUAUGAAUGAAUUAUAUUUGAAGUUGUGAAAACCAUACAUCGCCGGCAUUCCACUUGUAAAACAUCACCUCACCGUACGCAUUUCAACGGUACGCAUUGACUAAUACCAUCACCCAUCUUGCAUACACCAUUGUCGACUAAAGAUCGAUCUAUGGGAUAUCGAACCAAAGCUAUCGUUCUCGCCUUGUUAUUCUGUCUGCUGGCAGUUUGCAACUCUCCUCGCCGCUGCUACUGGUGUAGAUGCAGUAAUCGGUGAGUGAGUGAAUGAAUGCAUCUCUCAAAAAUGUUUAAUCUCAUUCAUUAAUAUGAAUGAUACAUGCUAGAAGCAGUGAAGAACAAGAGUUCAAGUUCGAGGAAGAUUUUGGAUGAGAAAACCAUGGAUUCAGUUGACGAAGCAAAGAAUGAUCAUAAUGAGAAUGAGGCUUGGAAAAUGAGAAAUACGGAUUACACCGCAGACACGGUAAUAAAUAC
rnacentral:lncRNA from 1 species